GCAGGCUUACACAUGCAAGUCGAGGGGUAACAGAGGGUGCUUGCACUUUGCUGACGACCGGCGCACGGGUGCGUAACGCGUAUGCAACCUACCUUCUACAGGGGGAUAGCCCAGAGAGAUUUGGAAUAAUACCCCAUACGAUCAUUGAUUGGCAUCGAUCAAUGAGGAAAACUCCGGUGGUAGAAGAUGGGCAUGCGUCCUAUUAGUUAGUUGGUGAGGUAACGGCUCACCAAGACGUCGAUAGGUAGGGGCCCUGAGAGGGGGAUCCCCCACACUGGUACUGAGACACGGACCAGACUCCUACGGGAGGCAGCAGUGAGGAAUAUUGGACAAUGGGGGCAACCCUGAUCCAGCCAUGCCGCGUGCAGGAAGACUGCCCUAUGGGUUGUAAACUGCUUUUAUACAGGAAGAAACUGUGCUACGUGUA
rnacentral:rRNA from 1 species